rnacentral:rRNA from 1 species
GAUGAACGCUGGCGGCGUGCCUAAUACAUGCAAGUCGAGCGAAUGGAUUAAGAGCUUGCUCUUAUGAAGUUAGCGGCGGACGGGUGAGUAACACGUGGGUAAACUGCCCAUAAGACUGGGAUAACUACGGGAAACCGGAGCUAAUACCGGAUAACAUUUUGAACCGCAUGGCUCGAAAUUGAAAGGCGGCUUAGGCCGUCACUUAUGGAUGGACCAGCUGCGCAUUAGCUAGUUGGUGAGGUAACGGCCCACCAAGGCAACGAUGCGUAGCCGACCUGAGAGGGUGAUCGGCCACACUGGGAAUGAGACACGGCCCAGACUCCUACGGGAGGCAGCAGUAGGGAAUCUUCCGCAAUGGACGAAAGUCUGACGGAGCAACGCCGCGUGAGUGAUGAAGGCUUUCGGGUCGUAAAACUCUGUUGUUAGGGAAGAGCAAGUGCUAGUUGAAUAAGCUGGCACCUUGACGGUACCUAACCAGAAAGCCACGGCUAACUACGUGCCAGCCGCCGCCGUAA